rnacentral:siRNA from 1 species
AAUAGGUGACUAGUUUGCCAACA